rnacentral:lncRNA from 1 species
GAGCUCAGGAACACAAACAGAGCCAGUAACACUGUCGAACCAAGCGGUGAUAACCCAGAACGACCUGAAGACACUUGAAGACCGCAUUAACGCCAACUUGACCGUCAUGAUGGAAACCAUAACUUCCAAGGUAACGCAGGUUAUGCAAACCACAGUAACACAAAUGAUACAGACUGGGUUCCAAUCUCUCAAGAGCGAAAUGGAGAACCAGAUUCAGGCACUACAGACCAA